GACGAACGCUGGCGGCGUGCUUAACACAUGCAAGUCGAACGGAAAGGCCCUGCUUUUGUGGGGUGCUCGAGUGGCGAACGGGUGAGUAACACGUGAGUAACCUGCCCUUGACUUUGGGAUAACUUCAGGAAACUGGGGCUAAUACCGGAUAGGAGCUCCUGCUGCAUGGUGGGGGUUGGAAAGUUUCGGCGGUUGGGGAUGGACUCGCGGCUUAUCAGCUUGUUGGUGGGGUAGUGGCUUACCAAGGCUUUGACGGGUAGCCGGCCUGAGAGGGUGAACGGCCACAUGGGGACUGAGAUACGGCCCAGAGGCCUACGGGAGGCAGCAGUGGGGAAUAUUGCACAAUGGGCGGGAGCCUGAUGCAGCGACGCCGCGUGCGGGAUGACGGCCUUGGGGUGGUAAACCGCUGUCGCCUGUGACGAAGCGUGAGUGACGGUAAUGGGUAAAGAAGCACCGGCUAACUACGUG
rnacentral:rRNA from 1 species